rnacentral:rRNA from 1 species
CAGUAGCCGCGGUAAUACGGAGGGGGCUAGCGUUGUUCGGAAUUACUGGGCGUAAAGCGCACGUAGGCGGCUUGGUAAGUUAGAGGUGAAAGCCUGGAGCUCAACUCCAGAAUUGCCUUUAAGACUGCCGAGCUAGCAGGUGAGAGAGGUAAGUGGAAUUCCGAGUGUAGAGGUGAAAUUCGUAGAUAUUCGGAAGAACACCAGUGGCGAAGGCGGCUUACUGGCUCAUACUGGACGCUGAGGCGCGAAAGCGUGGGGAGCAAACAGGAUUAGAUACCCCCGUAGUCCCUGUCUCUUAUAA